rnacentral:misc_RNA from 1 species
GAUGAAGAACCAGCGAAAUGCGAUAAGUAAUGUGAAUUGCAGAAUUCAGUGAAUCAUCGAAUCUUUGAACGCACAUUGCGCCCCCUGGUAUUCCGGGGGGCAUGCCUGUCCGAGCGUCAUUACAACCCUCAAGCUCAGCUUGGUGUUGGGCCCCGCCGCCCCGGCGGGCCCUAAAGUCAGUGGCGGUGCCGUCCGGCUCCGAGCGUAGUAAUUCUUCUCGCUCUGGAGGUCCGGUCGUGUGCUCGCCAGCAACCCCCAAUUUUUUUCAGGUUGACCUCGGAUCAGGUAGGGAUACCCGCUGAACUUAAGCAUAUCAAUAAGCGGAGGA